rnacentral:pre_miRNA from 1 species
UAAUGAUGAUAAUGAUGGUGACGACGACGAUGAUGAUGAUGAUAAUAAUAAGGCUUGUUGUUAUCUUUGUCGUCGUCGUCGUCAUCAUCAUCAUCU